rnacentral:rRNA from 1 species
ACGGAGGGUGCGAGCGUUGUCCGGAAUCAUUGGGCGUAAAGGGCGCGUAGGCGGCCCGGGAAGUCGGUGGUGAAAGCGCGGGGCUCAACUCCGCGUCGGCCAGCGAGACUCCUGGGCUGGAGCACUGUAGAGGCUGGCGGAAUUCCGGGUGUAGCGGUGGAAUGCGUAGAGAUCCGGAAGAACACCGGUGGCGAAGGCGGCCUGCUGGGCAGUAGCUGACGCUGAGGCGCGACAGCGUGGGGAGCAAACAGGA